UACAUGUCCUUUACAUGCUAUAAAGGCAGAUGUAAAUUUGCCUACAACUCAGUAAUGCACCUGUGUUUUGCUUAUUUUUGUGUGUUUUACUAUAUAAAGGUUACCAACUGCCUACUUUGAGUACUUACUGACGGCAUGUGCCUGAUAUAUAUAUAUAUAUAUAUAUAUAACUGGAAAAUAUUUAGCAAAUAACUGGUUUUAUUAAUUGUCUAUUGCUCCAUUAUAGGAUAAGUAUUUUUAAUUCUCUAUGCAUGAGGACCUGGACUACAUAUCCUGUUGUUUACUGAUUGGGUGGGUACCUGUGCAUUAUUUCUGCAUAUGUUUACCUAUGUACACACAUAUAUGCUAUAUCUAUUCUACAUUGUACAUGUAUAAUUAUGUGUGUGUGUAUAUAUAUAUAUAUGAGAUUGUAGAGACACUUGAAUGGAAACGUGUUGAUGUAUGCUGCACACAAGCAAUAAGGUGGAGGAGAGCUUCAGCUAGGGUCCUCACAGGCAAGGCACAUAGGUAUAAAAUCUUCUGGGAAUAACAAGCAGGAAAAGAAGAGAGUCGUCUUUGCGGAUGAAAAGGACCGUGUUGCAGUUUUAACAAAUGACCAACAACUUUACAUUAUGGCUCAGGUGAAAUCGAAUGCUAUGUCCGUAGAUAAUGCCUUGAAAAUGGCUAAACAACUCUCUGGAGAAUCGCAAGAUUUACCGCCAGAACUCAGG